GACAGAGGGUGCAAACGUUGUUCGGAAUUACUGGGCGUAAAGCGCGUGUAGGCGGCUCGGCAAGUCGGGUGUGAAAGCCCUGGGCUUAACCUAGGAAGUGCACUCGAAACUGCCAAGCUUGAGUUCUGGAGAGGAAGGCGGAAUUCUCGGUGUAGAGGUGAAAUUCGAUAGAUAUCGAGAGGAACGACCGGUGGCGAAGGCGGGUCU
rnacentral:rRNA from 1 species